rnacentral:rRNA from 1 species
AUUGAACGCUGGCGGCAGGCCUAACACAUGCAAGUCGAGCGAGCGGCGGACGGGAGAGUAAUGUAUGGGGAUCUGCCCGGUAGAGGGGGAUACCUACUGGAAACGGUGGCUACUAACGCAUACUAUCGGCUGAACCCAUAUGGGAUUAGCUAGUUGGUGGGGUAAAGGCUCACCUAGGCGACGAUCUCUAGCUGGUCUGAGAGGAUGAUCAGCCACACUGGGACUGAGACACGGCCCAGACUCCUACGGGAGGCAGCAGUGGGGAAUAUUGGACAAUGGGCGAAACCCUGAUGCAGCCAUGCCGCGUGUAUGAAGAAGGCCUUAGGGUUGUAAAGUACUUUCGGCAGGAAGGCGGUACCUGCAGAAUAAGCACCGGCUAACUCCGUGCCAGCAGCCGCGGUAAUUC